GGUUAAAAGUCAAAGUAAGACACAUGGGAAAAAAACAUGGAGCACCGUAUGCCAUGGAUGUGCCAAUGUGAGGGGGUUUUCUAGUUCCUCAGUGAAGCCACAGGGUACUUUUUGAAAAAAAGAACCAAAAAACAAAACAAAACAAAAAAACCAACACAAAAAACCAACAAACCAGAAAAGUACACCUUUUCAUUUUUCCUUACAGCUGGCAGGCAAUAGGCACACAGGAGCAGCUCCAGCCAUGUUGCCCCUGCAGCUGCUGCCAAAAUCUGGCUUGCCAGUGUGGUAAAUCUGGAACUGCUGAUGAUUGGCACUGCAAGACUUGCAUGGGUAUGAAUGUCCAGGAAAGCAGGAGGUGACACAGAUGUGAGGGACAGAUGGCAGAGCUCUUCCUACAGCUCCUGAAGUGGCCAGAGAUUGCCCAGGCUUGUUCCAAAGCAGUGAAUCCCUCUGCCUGGUGUAUAUUCAUUUUUUAUAAUGCAAGAUGAAUGAAGCAAACCAGAUAACUUGGCCUUGAGAUGCUGCAAUUGUAAACAAAUUGUCCAGAAUAAAAAUAUUCAAAGACACA
rnacentral:lncRNA from 1 species